ACGGAAGGCAGCAGUGGUGAAUCUUGCACAAUGGGCGAAAGCCUGAUGCAGCAACGCCGCGUGAAGGAUGAAGGCCCUUGGGUCGUAAACUUCUGUUCUAAGGGAAGAUAGUGACGGUACCUUAGGAGCAAGUCCCGGCUAACUACGUGCCAGCAGCCGCGGUAAUACGUAGGGGGCGAGCGUUAUCCGGAAUUAUUGGGCGUAAAGAGUGCGUAGGUGGUUUCCUAAGCAUGGGGUUUAAGGCAAUGGCUUAACUAUUGUUCGCCCCAUGAACUGGGUUACUUGAGUGCUGGAGGGGAAAGCGGAAUUCCUAGUGUAGCGGUGGAAUGCGUAGAUAUUAGGAGGAACACCAGUGGCGAAGGCGGCUUUCUGGACAGUAACUGACACUGAGGUACGAAAGUGUGGGGAGCAAACAGGAUUAGAUACCCUGGUA
rnacentral:rRNA from 1 species